GGAGUGAUGCUCGAGUGGUUGAAGAGGCACGCCUGGAAAGCGUGUAUACCCCUAAAGGGUAUCGCGAGUUCGAAUCUCGCUCGCUCCG
rnacentral:tRNA from 1 species